GAUGAACGCUGGCGGCGUGCCUAAUACAUGCAAGUCGAGCGAAAAGACGAGAAGCUUGCUCCUCUGACGUUAGCGGCGGACGUGUGAGUAACACGUGGGUAACCUCCCUCUCUGACUGGGAAACCUUCGGGAAACCGGCGCUAAUCCCGGAUAAUAUAUUCAACCGCAUGGUUCGAUAGUGAAAGACGGUUUUGCUGUCACUUCUAGCUAGCUCCGCGCUGCAUUAGCUAGUUGGUAAGGUAACGGCUUCCCAAGGCCACGAUGCGUAGCCGACCUGAGAGAGGGGUCGCCGGCACUGGAACGUAGACACGGUCCAGACGCCUACGGGACGCAGCAGUAGGGUACCUUCCGCAAUAGGCGAAAGCCUGACGGAGCAAGGGCGCGUGAGAUAUGAAGGUCCCGGGAUCGUAAUACUGUCCUAUGAGGGAAGAACAAAUGUGUAAGUAACCGAACACUUCUUGACGGUACCUAAACAGAAAGCCACGGCUAACUACGUG
rnacentral:rRNA from 1 species